rnacentral:rRNA from 1 species
GAUGAACGCUGGCGGCGUGCUUAACACAUGCAAGUCGAACGGAACUCCUAUGAUUGAGGUUUCGGCCAAAAGAAUAGGACGUUUAGUGGCGGACGGGUGAGUAACGCGUGAGUAACCUGCCUUGGAGUGGGGAAUAACACAGUGAAAACUGUGCUAAUACCGCAUAAUGCAUUUGGGUCGCAUGAUUCUGAAUGCCAAAGAUUUAUCGCUCUGAGAUGGACUCGCGUCUGAUUAGCUAGUUGGCGGGGUAACGGCCCACCAAGGCGACGAUCAGUAGCCGGACCGAGAGGUUGGCCGGCCACAUUGGGACUGAGACACGGCCCAGACUCCUACGGGAGGCAGCAGUGGGGAAUAUUGGGCAAUGGGCGCAAGCCUGACCCAGCAACGCCGCGUGAAGGAAGAAGGCUUUCGGGUUGUAAACUUCUUUUGUCAGGGACGAAGCAAGUGACGGUACCUGACGAAUAAGCCACGGCUAACUACGUGCCAGCAGCCGCGGUAACAC